rnacentral:rRNA from 1 species
CUAUACAUGCAGUCGAGCGAUGAUUGAAGAUAGCUUGCUAUUUUCAUGAAGAGCGGCGAACGGGUGAGUAACGCGUGGGAAAUCUGCCGAGUAGCGGGGGACAACGUUUGGAAACGAACGCUAAUACCGCAUAACAAUGAGAAUCGCAUGAUUCUUAUUUGAAAGAAGCAAUUGCUUCACUACUUGAUGAUCCCGCGUUGUAUUAGCUAGUUGGUAGUGUAAAGGACUACCAAGGCGAUGAUACAUAGCCGACCUGAGAGGGUGAUCGGCCACACUGGGACUGAGACACGGCCCAGACUCCUACGGGAGGCAGCAGUAGGGAAUCUUCGGCAAUGGGGGCAACCCUGACCGAGCAACGCCGCGUGAGUGAAGAAGGUUUUCGGAUCGUAAAACUCUGUUGUUAGAGAAGAACGUUAAGUAGAGUGGAAAAUUACUUAAGUGACGGUAUCUAACCAGAAAGGGACGGCUAACUACGUGCCAGCAGCCGCGGUAAUACGUAGGUCCCAAGCGUUGUCCGGAUUUAUUGGGCGUAAAGCGAGCGCAGGUGGUUUCUUAAGUCUGAUGUAAAAGGCAGUGGCUCAACCAUUGUGUGCAUUGGAAACUGGGAGACUUGAGUGCAGGAGAGGAGAGUGGAAUUCCAUGUGUAGCGGUGAAAUGCGUAGAUAUAUGGAGGAACACCGGAGGCGA